rnacentral:tRNA from 1 species
AGUAAUGUCAGCUAAACAAGCUCUUGGGCCCAUACCCCAAAUAUGUUGGUUAAACCCCUUCCAUCACUA